rnacentral:rRNA from 1 species
GACGAAGGAUGCAAGCGUUAUCCGGAUUCAUUGGGUUUAAAGGGAGCGUAGGUGGCCUUAUAAGUCAGUGGUGAAAUCUCGCAGCUUAACUGCGAAAUUGCCAUUGAUACUGUAGGGCUUGAGUACAGUUGCCGUUGGCGGAAUAUGACAUGUAGUGGUGAAAUACAUAGAGAUGUCAUAGAACACCGAUUGCGAAGGCAGCUUGCUGGGACGUAACUGACGCUAAGGCGCGAAAGCGUGGGGAGCGAACAGG